rnacentral:misc_RNA from 1 species
AACCCAAAUCCCUCAAUCUUCUUCGUUACCUCCGAACUCGGCGGUUGCUGACACGCCGUCGCCGCUGAAUCGGCCGAAUCCACCGGAGCAACGAUGUCGUACGACGACGUAGAGAUUGAAGACAUGGAGUGGAACGAGGAACUGCAGGCCUUCACAUACCCAUGCCCCUGCGGCGACUUGUUCCAGAUCACCAAGGAGGAUCUUAAGCUCGGCGAAGAGAUUGCUCGGUGCCCUAGCUGCUCUCUUUACAUCACGGUCAUCUACAACAUGGAAGAUUUUCUUGGAGACUCUAAUCAGAAGAAUAACAAAGGAAUUGAGCCCCCUAAACAACAGCCUAUCGUGGUCGCUUAACAAUUCAGAACCCCCAAAUGUGAAUCAUGGUGUCACCACGGCAGCUGCACUUGUUGCAGAUGAAAUUUUGUCAGCCAUUGUCAAUUCUGAGAUGUUCGUUGGCAUUAAAGUUUCUUCCUUUUCUUUUCAUUUCUUUUUUCAGAAUUGCUCUUGGAAAUAGAGGAAGGUAGAGUUGCUUCCGGAG